CGCCCUUCGGCGCGGGGGGGUCGGGGCCGGAGGGCCUCGAGCAAAAGCACGCGCACAGGUAGCGCGGGAGCGUGCUUUGCGGGAGCCGAAGGGACGCCCCGGGGCAUCUGCGAGCGUGGGGCUGUCCGGUGACUCUCUUUUGAACCUCGUUCUGCGCGCCCUGCGCUCGCUUUCCCCCUCCAACCUGUCCCGGCUGUCCGGGGAUGGGCUGCCGGAGCGUUUCUCCGUGCCGCGUAGCGCCGCGACCGUCCCGCUGCCGGCCGAGCUCCGGGCUCUGCUGCUGCUGCUGGCUGCGCUCGGUGCGCGCUCCCUGGGUGUCACCUCCGAGCGAUCCCGGACCGAGAGAAAGCUCCUACGAGAGCAAAGUUGGGCGCUUCCCUCAGAGCGUCGCGAACCUCAGCGCAAGCCGAGGUGCUCCCCGAGCAGGGUAUUCCCUCCUGCCGAGCGGCCAGCGCUAUGGAAAGAACCGAGGGGAAGCGGGAGGAAUCUCCGCGCGCUUCCCCGAAGCCACACGGGCGCAUCCCGGUGGCAGCGCGGGGCUGAGCUCCUCAGCCCCGUGUGUUUGGAAGCGUAACGCGAUACAUCGCCUCCCUUGAUCUCAUUCUGCCUUCCUCCUUAGCCGUACCUCACUGUACUUAAGAGGACGGUUUUGCUACCAGCCCUCUCCCCCCAUCCCCACGUUUUCAUCUCUUCCUCCUGCUUGCUCUCCUGUCGACAGCUCCAUACCUUUCCAUUAUUUCCUCACACGCAUCACACCAGUCGAUCUCUGGCCAUUCCUGGCACCGCUCUCUGCCUUUGGCCACCACCCAGGUGUCCACACAGUGUUGGCAUCCAUCCCAUCCCGUACUACUGCCAUGUCCCGGCCCCGGGUGGCCUCUGUCAUCCCACUGCCACCUCGGCCUGCCCUGACUUUCCACCAGCCAUUGCUCAUCUCUGGAGAUGGAGUCACCUCCAACCUGUCUGGUACCAGGACCUGCAUACCUGGCAUCGUGGUCACGCAUGCUCACACUAGAUUCCAUCACAUACGAAGUAUAAGCAGUACCUGUUGGACUUGGCUAGGGUUUUUGCUGUGGACUUCCCCAUCACCAGUUUGUGCUUCUCUCUUGCCAUGGGCAUGGCCAAAGACUUCAGUGCUCACCUGUGUUGUAUACUGUUUAACGCUCUUUGCCCUGGCACAUCCUUUAGCCGCAUAACGACACUGAUAUGCUUUGUUGUCGCCAGUAUUUCCACCCCAGCGGACCACCUUUCAGCUUGGCAUUAUGGGGAGCCCUCCAAGAGAGGUGUGCGAAGGGACAGGCACUGCACAGCUGCACUGGUGCAUCUGUCAGCCAACCAGCCGGUCAACCAUUCAGGCACCUCAAUGCUGCACUAGGGAGUUCCUGUCCUCCAAAAUAUACCUCUUCUUUCCCAAAAUUCUGAUACCUCGGCCUGACAAGCACUUCAUAUAUGAAUCCUUAACACCACAGCCUGCUGUUAGGAAUGUGCACGCUGCACCCAGUGCUGGAGCGAGACCAGAAGGGUAGAGCUCAGGUGUUUUGGAACCAUCCCACAGGCAGCCCCUGGCGGCCUUCCAGCAUGCUCUUCCUUUAAGCGUGCUCACUGUGCCUCUGGAGAAGACUGCUGAUCCAUCAGUUAAUCGUAUUGAAGCUGCAAUCAGAUGAGGAACUUCAGCACGCCAUGAGGUGAGAAGAAGCUAACAAGGAAUGAUUUUAGCUGUAGCACUGAUGGAGCAGGCCUCUUAACACUGAACUGAGUGUGUGCAAGGACUCUAUCAUAUUAGAUAUGCAUCAACUAGAUGCAUUUCAUAGAUAAAACUGCACAUACUGCAUCAGACCAAAGCCCACCAGCCCUACGUCCUACCAGUGAAAAUGACCAGUAAAUAGAGGCUUAUGAGAGAGUAUAAUAGCAGGACAAACAUAAUGCAAUUAUUUUCCUUCAGUAGAUCCCUGUUGUACAGUAAAUAGGUAUACAGAUGUUAUACAGAGAAGUUAGGCUGGUAAGAUUACCACACUGGAAAAGAUAAUCAGAUAUAAAUGAAAGGUGUUCACCAAUGUUGUAGGCUCACAAAAACUCCACAAGCAGAGAUCUCCAGGAAGAGAUCCUUCCUCAGUGGCAGUCAGCCCUUAAAUGGGGUCUAGGAGAGGUGCAGCCUGGCUCCACCCCUUCCAGUCACACAGCUGAAUUGCCUUCACCUGUGCUCCCAGGGCUGACUCAGUGCUUGCCUCAGGUGGUCAAUCAGAGGUUCAGGUCGUAAUUCAACAGUUCCCAUACACCUGUUCUCCCAGAUCCUAUGGUUCAGAGAUUGCCUGUAUUGAAGCCCUUUCCCUUUAAUGCUUUUGCCAAGCAUUUUUUGGUCUUUACAACGCUGUGCAAUCAAACUACGGAAGACCUUACAGUUUGAAUAAUGCAGCAUCUCUGCCUAUUUUAUACCUAUUGUUCACUAUUCUUUUUUUUUCAUGUCCUCUAGUUUUUGUAUCAGAAAUCAGGUGCCAUAUCUCAGUAUCCGUCCUUUGCCCCACUACUCAUUGAAAGGACGUGGCUUUUGUAAGGGAGACCUUCUGCUGCAUCUCUUAUAUUUGAGCCUUCUUGCUCUGCCCGAAAGAGUUUGCCCUGGACUGCCUGAGAAGAGACAAUUCUGUUACUUAGUUCAACUUUUUUCUUUCUAGCUACUUCUUCAUUUCACAUCCUGGGAGAAGAUAAUCUUUCUAACCAGGCAGAACCAGAGCAGGUAUCAUGGCAAAAGAGAACAGGAGGGAAGAAGAAAACUAAUUUCAGAAAGCAUGCCAGAAGUAUGAAAA
ensembl:lncRNA